rnacentral:rRNA from 1 species
CACUAGUGAUUCUCCUGGAAACGGGUGGUAAUGCCGGAUGCUCCAGUUGGAUGCAUGUCCUUCUGGGAAAGAUUAUAUCGGUAUGGGAUGGGGUCGCGUCCUAUCAGGUAGUCGGCGGGGUAACGGCCCACCGAGCCUACGACGGGUAGCCGGCCUGAGAGGGCGACCGGCCACAUUGGGACUGAGAUACGGCCCAGACUCCUACGGGAGGCAGCAGUGGGGAAUAUUGCACAAUGGGCGCAAGCCUGAUGCAGCGACGCCGCGUGCGGGAUGACGGCCUUCGGGUUGUAAACCGCUUUUGAUCGGGAGCAAGCCUUCGGGUGAGUGUACCUUUCGAAUAAGCACCGGCUAACUACGUGCCAGCAGCCGCGGUAAUACGUAGGGUGCAAGCGUUAUCCGGAAUUAUUGGGCGUAAAGGGCUCGUAGGCGGUUCGUCGCGUCCGGUGUGAAAGUCCAUCGCUUAACGGUGGAUCCGCGCCGGGUACGGGCGGGCUUGAGUGCGGUAGGGGAGACUGGAAUCCCGGUGUAACGGUGGAAUGUGUAGAUAUCGGGAAGAACACCAAUCGAAUUC